GUACCUUUUGUAUAAUGGGUCAGCGACUUAUAUUCUGUAGCAAGGUUAACCGAAUAGGGGAGCCGGAGGGAAACCGAGUCUUAAUUGGGCGUUAAGUUGCAGGGUAUAGACCCGAAACCCGGUGAUCUAGCCAUGGGCAGGUUGAAGGUUGGGUAACACUAACUGGAGGACCGAACCGACUAAUGUUGAAAAAUUAGCGGAUGACCUGUGGCUGGGGGUGAAAGGCCAAUCAAACCGGGAGAUAGCUGGUUCUCCCCGAAAGCUAUUUAGGUAGCGCCUCGUGAAUUCAUCUCCGGGGGUAGAGCACUGUUUCGGCUAGGGGGCCAUCCCGGCUUACCAACCCGAUGCAAACUGCGAAUACCGGAGAAUGUUAUCACGGGAGACACACGGCGGGUGCUAACGUCCGUCGUGAAGAGGGAAACAACCCAGACCGCCAGCUAAGGUCCCAAAGUCAUGGUUAAGUGGGAAACGAUGUGGGAAGGCCCAGACAGCCAGGAUGUUGGCUUAGAAGCAGCCAUCAUUUA
rnacentral:rRNA from 1 species